GUAGUCUGCAACCCGACUACAUGAAGCUGGAAUCGCUAGUAAUCGCGGAUCAGAAUGCCGCGGUGAAUACGUUCCCGGGUCUUGUACACACCGCCCGUCACACCAUGGGAGUCGGAAAUGCCCGAAGUCUGUGACCCAACCGAAAGGAGGGAGCAGCCGAAGGCAGGUCGGAUGACUGGGGUGAAGUCGUAACAAGGUAUC
rnacentral:rRNA from 1 species